rnacentral:rRNA from 1 species
GUAUAAGAGACAGCAGCAGCCGCGGUAAUACGAAGGGUGCAAGCGUUACUCGGAAUUACUGGGCGUAAAGCGUGCGUAGGUGGUGGUUUAAGUCCGUUGUGAAAGCCCUGGGCUCAACCUGGGAAUUGCAGUGGAUACUGGGUCACUAGAGUGUGGUAGAGGAUAGUGGAAUUUCCGGUGUAGCAGUGAAAUGCGUAGAGAUCGGAAGGAACAUCUGUGGCGAAGGCGACUAUCUGGGCCAACACUGACACUGAGGCACGAAAGCGUGGGGAGCAAACAGGAUUAGAUACCCCGGUAGUCCCUGUCUCUUUAUA